ensembl:lncRNA
CUUUCACGCGCUUUGGGGACCGCUCGUGUUCGGGGAGCACCUGAGCCACCCGGGGGGGGAGCCGCAGCCGCCCUCGCUGGGGCUGGGGGCUCGCCCGCAGGCACCUCGCAGGAUGCUCGAGGGUUAAAUAGCGACAAAGUUAAAGGAGCAGUGGUGGCAGAGGGAAACCCAAAGAUGUAUUGCUGAGGGAGCAGUAAAUGAGAGGUUUUCAAGUGAAUUGUGCAAAUAAAUAGAAAGCUUGCCUCUUUCCACCUCAGGCUAACGAUUUCCAGUAUUUUAUGCAGGGAUUUCUUUGCCAGUGAGGGAUGCUACCCAGGAAAAACUGUGGACUGUAGCUGCGUAUUGUUCAAGUCACAGUUAACAUCUUUUAAGGUACCUUCAGUAUGGAAAACAUUUAACUUCCAAAGCAAAUUUGGAGUAAUAGAUUUUAGGGGUGAAAAAGGACCAUUAGCUCAGUUAAUGUGAUUUUCUCCAUAGCACAGACCAGAUAAUAUCACUCAGUUACUCUUCUACUGAGCCAAUAACUCGUGUUUGCAAUUCAUGCAAUUUCCUUUUAGUUCAAUUUAAUUUCAUACAGAAUCCAUUCAGUUGACACUGAGACAGUAUUUUUUCUGAAAGCUGGUGAUUUCAGAGGCUUUGCGUUAAAAAUAGCUGGUGUCCUUUGACAAACGUGGGCAGGCUAAAGACAUUUUUCUAAACCAUUUGCUACCGACACAUUUUUACCAGCAUCUCCCUUUGUGCUGUUUAUUUGUUUCACUUUCUUAUGAAUGGCAAAGCUGCUGCUCGAGCGGCGAGCUGUUGCGGGCGCCGCUCUCCUCGGGCUCGGGGCUCGCGCCGUGGUUCUCCCUGGGGAUCCGAUUUGGCAUCUUGCACAGGAGGUGAAUUCCCUUCCUCGCAGCCUAAUAGGGAACGCAGUGGCAGAAGCACAGUACAUCUAGCCUUUCAGUGGGUUUAUUUUUACAUUGGUUGCUUGCUGAUGGGCUCCCGGAGCACUUGCAGCCGCUGCUGUCUGUGGCCUUUCUGGAACGGAGACUUGCUGGGGCUGAGCAGCAGCUACUGGUGCCGCAAACUGGUCCAGGGAAGGUGGACAAUGGCUGGCUCGGGGAAUCGGUAGCGUGCUACGGAGCUUGUUUUCUGCUCUCAAGGUGAGUGUCUUGGUCUAGCAGCGGGGAAGGGAGGUGGGGGCUGCUGGCCUGGUGCCGACCGCUUCAUGUGGCCCUCCAAGAGCAGGGACGGCACCUCCUCAGGGCUGCAGGGCCCCCCGUGGCCUUUAGAGCUUUUGAAUUUUGCUGGGGAGCGUGGGGUUGUUCGGAUAGUCGUUGCUGGUGAUCUGUGGGGUGCAAAAGCUUUGCCCACCGCGCCGUGGGAGCCGAGUUGCAUGCGUUGUUCCCAGGCCUCCGCUUUCGUAGGCCAAGUUGCGGCUGCUCUGUGAUGUCUCCCGUUCCCGUACCUAAGACAAAGCCAAAGAAACUUUGAAGGAUUUUGGUGUGGUUCAAGCAGGUUGGCGUAGCAGCAGGACUCACGGCUCUGCUACUCUCAGGGACCUGNNNNNNNNNNNNNNNNNNNNNNNNNNNNNNNNNNNNNNNNNNNNNNNNNNNNNNGCCAGUGGCCCGCGCGCCCGCUUGCCGUCCCGCCGGCGCAGCGAGCUCUGCUUUGUGCGGCCGCCGUGACCUGCCAUCCUGGCUGCUUCAGGUUUAUCCCACGGCAAACGCUUAGCGUGCUUUUGGGUUCGGCUUGCUUCAUGUGUACAUGUGUAAUUGCAGAAAUCAGAAAAGCUUUUAUUACCUAAGAGACGACCUCUAACAGGCGGUUGCGACCGAUUGUGCAGACACACUGUCAGUGCAUCUCUGCUCGGGUUUUACACCCUGGAAGUUCCCAGCCGUGCUAAUAAAAUGCACACUGUUUGUUUUCCUAAAAAAAAA